GGGUACCCCCUCCGCCCCGCGGCACAGCGCCCGGGACGGCUUCGGCCGGCUCGGGCGCUGUCGCGUUCCCGGGGCG
rnacentral:tRNA from 1 species